rnacentral:ncRNA from 1 species
GGCCCUCGGAAGCGAGGGUCGAUGUGCACCCCCCGGUACCUGACACGGCCGGGGUC